UAUAGGGACAGGGUUUUGCCAUGUUGACCAGGUUAGUGUGGAACUUCUGGCCUCAAGUGAUCCACCUACCUUGGCCUCAAAAGUGUUGGGAUUACAGGUGUGAGCCACUGCACCUGGCCUGAAAUGACUUACUUAAAAUAGUACACGUACGCUGUGAUAGUCAUUUUUCCUUGAAAUAUCUUUCUUCCCCUAUCUGAAACAUGGUAAAAUUCUGCGUGUACUUCAAAACCAAGCUUUCUUGAUUUUGCCAAUACAUGAACCUACUGAUUUUUCAUUGGGAUGUAAUUUUUCUCCCUUCUGAAGUUUCUCAGCAUUUACUUGGUACUGAUAAUAUAAUACUUGUAAUUGUCUAGCACAUAAAUAUUAUGUUCAUGUUUUAUAUCUUUUAUUAGAUUUUAAGCUCCUUAGAAAGUCUUUAAUAUUUCUUAAAUAAUGAAAUGUUGUCCCUCUCACUUCCCACUCCCACUCCUAAAUGAAUCCUAAACUACUUCUGUGAGAGAACAAAACAAUUUCAAAGUAAAAAACCAAGGAAAGAAAAAAUUAAAUUUCUAUUAUAUAGUAGUACAAGAGUAAGGCAAAUCUGUGCCUACAAUAUUAUUAUAAUAUUCAGGUAUCUGUUAGUUUAUACAAUGGGUAAUUGAAUGUCUUGCUUUUUUGCUAUGGUUUCCUCUUUGAUUGUUGGCUUAUUUCUCUAGGGAGAAAUAGUUGAAAGAGAGAUUUGGCUUCUCUAGUACCUCUUAAGACAACAUCAAAUACUUUAUAAGGUCCUUCUCUACCCUAGAAAUUGGUGUCUUUGUUAAAGAAACUUUUUAAUCUUGCUCAUUGAUCUUACUAACCAUUUUAAAAUUUGAGGAAAAGACAUGGAACCUUCUUCUACUACUUAUGUAUUAGUACUAUUUUGCAAAUAAGCUUCACUCAUUCAAACUUGAUUCCCAAUGCAACUGCUAAAUCCUUUAUCUGACAAUUAUUUUUGAGUUUCUACUGUUUAGAACCCAGUACUAGGUGUUGGAAAUAUUUCAGUGAACAAGACAGGCAAACCCCAUGAUCUGAUGAAGUUAGUAUUUUGGUGAGUUUGGAGAUGAUAAAUCAAUAUUGGCUAACAAACACAUAUAGGUGAUAAUAGGUGUUGUGCAGAGUAUUAAAAUGAUAGGUGAUAUGCAGAGAAAUAUGUGAUAAUGGUAGGUGGUAUAUAGAAUGUUGUGAUAGCAAAUGACUAAGUGGCUACUUUUUGAAAUGGCACUUAAGGAAAGCCUUGGCAGGCAGGUAAAAUUUGAAUGACAGAAGAAAACUAUAUAAAGAACAAUAGAAUAGCAAGAGUGUUCUUUUUUUUUGACAGAGCCUUCCUAUGUUAUCCAGGCUAGAGUGCAGUGGUGCAAUCUUGGCUCAUUGUUGCCUCCAACUCCCGGGUUUAGGCAAUUCCAUGCCCAACUAAUUUUUUGUAUUUUUAGUAGAGGCAGGGUUUUGCCAUGUUAGCGAGGCUAUUCUCAAACUCCUGGCCUCAAGUGAUCCUACUCCUUGCCCUCUAAAAGUGCUGGAUUAGAGGCGUGAGCCAUUCCACCUGGCCAAGAGUUUUCUAGACAGAAGAAACAGUAGGCACAAAACUUUAGGACAAAACUGAGUUAACAUGUUCAAAAAAAUGAAUGAAGAGCAGUGUGUUCAUAGCAAAGUGAAAAGAGCAGAAUGGGAUGAGAUGGAGCUAGAAUGUUGGAGAGGGUUGAAUCAUGCAGAGAAUAUUAAGCCAGGAUUAGAUGUCAGAAUUUUUUCUAAAUGGAAUGAAAAUUAUUGUAAAGCUUUGAAUAGGAAAAUGGCUUGACUUUAUUUACAGAUUUAAAAGAUCAUUCUGGCAACUCCUAAAGAAGGUAUGAUAAGAGAGUUAGAACGUUUAAGUGUGGUGACCAACUGGAAGGUUACUACAGUAGUCCAGAGAAUGAUGAUGAUGACAUGGACCAGGAUGGCUAAAUAGAGACAGAAACAAGCAGGUGUGUUCAGGUUGCUUUAACACAGGGCUGAGAGGUCACAGUGAUCAUUUAGAUUGGGGUGUGUUCAGAUAUGAGUCACCAAUGAAUCCUAGAUUUUUACCUUACACAAACAAGUAGUUCGAGUAGCUGAUUUAUUACGGUGGGAAACAACAAGAGAGAAACAGAUUUUGAGUGGGAAGGAAAAUAAGUAUUCUUGUUUAGUCUUGUUAGUUUAAGAUGCAUAUUAAACAUCCAAAUAAAGACAUCAAAGAAACAGUUGAAUGUAUAGGUCUGAAGAUCUAUGGUGAAGACUGACUGUAAAGAUUUUGGUCCUGUAUAAAAUUAUCUAGACUAUUGUAGAUAUUAAGGAAAUAAAGGCAUUGAGGAUUGAUCCCUGGGAAUCUCCACAAAGAAAAGGUGAAGAGGAGGAGGGAGAAUUCUCAAAGAGACAGAAGAAAUGUUUCUUAUGAUGCCAAAGAAGCCCAGAGAAGAAGGUAUUUUAGGACAAUGCUCAACUGUGCCAAAUACUGCAUUUUGCCACAAAAUAGCCUGGGCCUUGGAAGUACAAAAAGUAAUAUCACCUGGCCCCUGAACUUAAAGUUCAUAUUCUAAUGGGAGACACAGGGAAACAGACAAUACCCUGAUAUAUAAUUGUGGUAAUUCAUGGUAUUGUAGGAACACAUAAGAAGGACACAUCCACCCAGACUUCGGUGCUGAGGAAAGUGAUUAAGAAUGGCCUUUUGGAGGAAAAAUUAGGAAAUGUGGUUAGGUAGAAAACAGCAUUCGUUGUGAAAAACGCCUGAGAAACCAACUUAAAGUUUGAUAACUUGUAGGAAGUUUUCCAGGAUGGAUAGAACUUCAGUUUGGCAUGGUAACGCAAGACAGAUAAGCAUUAGCCAGAUCACGGACAACUUAGAAAGUUAUAGUGAUGAGUUUGAACUGUUUUUUCUAAAGGCUAUUGGGAUUCAUAGAGAAAUUAUUAACAUUGAACAACCAGAAAAACAAUUUGCAUCUUGGAAUAAUCUCUCUGGCAGCCAGCCCCAGGAGAAUGGCUUAGAGUGGGUCAAGAAAUCUGAUGUGAAUAUUGUUUAUGAACCUGUGGUAGAAAUUCAGUCAAUAAAUGAUGAGAACCUGAACUAAAGAAGAGGAAGUAGAAUCUGUUAAAAAAAAUCUCAAAGUCCAUCAAAGUCCAUGUAUCUUAUAAUAGGUCAUAAAUAGUAAAGAUGGACACUAUUUUUAAUUACGACAGAGGGUAAGUUUGAGCCAGUAAAUGGAGCUCCUUAAUUUGGAAUUUGGUCAGCACAAACUGGUAAAUAAUUCCUGACAGAUGGCAACACAGAAUCUUCUGUUACCAUUAACAUCAAGAUCUCUGCUUUAUACUUAAUCCAAAAGAUGUAACUUCUGACAACUUAGACAUUUCCAAUUCUUUAAUAGGUCCUUUGCCAUAAGAGUGCUCUUCCCUUUUAUGGAAAUACAGAGGUGUCUCUUAUUUAACAAUGUUUAUAAUAAUGUUGAUGGUUAAGAUAAUAAUUAUUGGAGACUUUAUAUACUACACGAGAAUUGACACAUGCCUCUCUGGUGGCUAAUAGGUGACAUAUCAAAGUGCUGAAGACUCAGCUAGAGAUCAGAAGCCAGCUCCAAGGAUUCUGAUGAAUUGGAUUUCUAAUUCAAUCUUGAGUACAUAAUUUUUGCUUGUGGAGCUCACUUCUGCUACUCACUUUCUCCCUAGUGUCUUUAGAUAUAGCUCCUCUCUCUGCGAUCCUGGGACCUCAGAUUCCCUAAAAAUGUUGAACUCAUGCAUGGAACGUGCCAGUGGCAUUUCUGGUGAUAAUAUUCUGAGACAUGGAGGAUGUUACAUAAUUUUGUUUGGAGAUCUACAAAGAGACAUUUCCCACUGUUAAUGUCUCAACUAAAGUGGCCAAAGUGUGUUUCAAUUUAUAUAUUAAACAUUAUACAAUAAAAAUUUAGAACAUAAAACAUUAGAAAUCCAUAUAAAUGUUUACCUAUUUUCAAGAAUUGCCUGAUUCUCUUAUUCGGUAAUCAUGUGUUGCUUGGAGAUAAAACUAUACUGUGCUAUUUAUUGGUACUUAACUCUUCCACCUUCACAUAGCCAGGUACUGUUUUGUAGGUGAUCAAAAUACUAGAAAUCAUUAGAAAAAUGUUAUAAUUAUACGGGUGAGGAAACCAAUGUCCAGAGAUAUAAAUACUUCUUAUAUUUCUGUAGUCUGCCAGAGGUGGAGCUGGAAUGCAAACUCGGGUUUCCUGUUUUCAAGUCCAAUGUCUUUGCUUAAAACUCUUGGAUAGAGGAGAUACGUCUUAUAUUAAACACCAUAUUAUCCUUUACUAAAAUUUACAUCACAUUGACUUGUUGCUUUAAAGUUGUUGAUACCUACAAUGUCCUAGAAUAAUCUGUUGAAUAAUCUUUUGAGCUGUGACUGUAACACUGUACUCCAGCUUGGGUAAUAGAGCAAGAUCCUAUCUCAGGGAAAAGAAAAAAUGAAGAGGAAGAAAAAGGGAUGAAUUCAAUGGCAAAAUAUAACAAUCCUAAAUAAAUAGACAUCUAUAGGUUCAAAACAUGUAAAGCAGAAGUUGAAAGAAAAGAAGAAAUUCAUCUACAUAGAUAGAAAACAUAAAGCACCUCUUUCAACAAGUGAGAGAACAAGAAUAUACAUAUUUUAGUAAUAUACUGAAGAAUUGAACUCCCCUAUGAAGCAAUUAUAUAUUUUAUCUCCAUAAAAUGUUGCAGCAAAAUUUUUCAGAGUAGGCACACAUUCCAAGUGCAAGAGAAACAUUAACAAAAGAAUAUUAAGAAAAAUGUGAUUUUCAAAUUAUUUUUUAUUUUUAUUUUUUAGAGACAGAGUCUUGCUCUAUUACCCAGGCUUGAAUCCAGUGGCACAAUCAUAGCUCUCUGCAACCUCAAACUCCUGGGCUGAAGCAAUCCUCCCUCCUCAGCCUCCCAAGUAGCUUGAGACUACAGACAACCACCACCACAAUGUGUCAACUUUUUUUUUUUAAUUCCUUGUAGAGACGGGGCCUUCGUAUUUUGAUCAGGCUGGUUCUUAACUCCCGGCCUCAAGCAGUCCUCCCACCAUAGUCUCCCAAAGUGCUGGGAUUACAGGAGUGAGCCACCAUGCCUGGCCUUCUGAAAUGUGAUUUUAUAGGAAACUUGCAUUGUCAAAAGCAACCAUUAAAAUUUUCUCCCUUUCUGUUCUCACCUGAGAACAGAAAUCACAUUAACUCGAUCUUUCCAAGCCUUUUUGAAACUCUAUGUUAUUAACACUUUUUAAAAGAAAAAAAAAGGUAUCUGUAAAUAUCAUAAAGUAGUUCCUUAUUUUGGGUUUGGGAAUGAAAUGAUAAACUACUUUAUGAUGUCAUCCUAUAGUAAAAUUUUCCUACCAAAAUGAUAAAAACAUUGCUUUCUGUAAAUAUCAUUAUAGUUGAGGGUUUUGUUUCCUAAUGUAAACUAAAUUAAAAUAAAAGUUAAAACCAACAGGCACAUUAUUGUGUGAAUAAAAUCUAAGCAUAUUUCCUAAAUGUAUUAUGAUAAAUAUUUUUGUUCUUAUAUCUCCUUUUAUAAAUACUGACCCACACACAUCUCCUAUUAAUGCACAUUUCUUGAAUUUUUGAGUGAGGCAGAGAAAGAAGCUUCUGCAUUUUUCUUUAUUUCUUUGCAUCAAUUUUGGAAGAAAACAGUAUUACCAGAAAAGGACAUAUUGAGGAAUGAAGACACUGGCAGGAACUGAAAUAUGAAGAAGAGUUACGAAGAGAAGAAAUUAAGAAAAUUUUCCUAAGCGUAAGUAAGAGUGACAAUACUUUUCAAAAAAGAGGCAAUAGCAAAAAGGGAGAAUUGUGAAAGGAGUUGAUGAUAGUCCUAGACUGGAGAGAUCAAGUUAUUUAUAUAAACAAAUAGGGUAUUGGUAGCAUUUUGUCAGUUUGAGAAAUGUAGAUGUUACAAGAUGGACUAAAGAAGGUUACAAGAAAUUCCCUCAAGUCAAUGAACUUCAGUGAAAGUAUGCCUAAGAAUCAUUUGAAAGAAAAAGUGUUGCUUGCGAGAAUGAGGAAUCAUAAAAAUUCAGUGGAGAAAACUAAGAAAUUUUGUUACCCCCACUUAAUAGAAAAACAUAUUUUAAAAAAUAUUUGUGGUAUAGCAUAAACCAUAAUCAGAAGAUUUUGCUAUUUCUCAUAUCAUAUUAUGUAGAUAGUACAUGUUUAAGUCAAUCACACCCUAAUGGAAUAUGUUGACAUUUUAUACAUAUUUUGUUUUAUAUGAAUUACUCCAUGAUUUUAAUUUACUAGAUAUGUAUGCAUUUUAUCAGUUGGUUUCUUUCUUUUUUUUUUUUUUUUACAUGAAACAGAUGGCACUUACUAUCCCUUUUAUUAUCAGUGAUUAGAAUUUGGCUACCCACUCAAUAUUUUUAUUUUGUCUUUCUGAUUUAUAAUGUCUGUGUUGAUGAUGAACUCCAUUCACACAUAUAAAAACAUACAUAUACAUCCAUAAGUAUACUAUAUAGAAAAAUCAACUACAAUUCAUUUAAUAUUUUGAAAGAAUAACAUAUAGAAGAAUCUGUUAGUAUAGAUAUAAUGUUGCAUAGCUAUCUAUUUCCUUAUAGAAGGAAAAUAUUUCAUACAUGCAGCAUAUUUAUAGACAUGUAUGAAAUAUUUUCCUUCUAUAAGGUCCAGGUUUGUAAAGAAAAACGUGCCUUUUCCUAAAAAAAUAAAUGCUUCCUUUUUUUUCUUACUUUACAUAUUUUCAUUCAAUCACAAAAAUAUAUUUUAUUUUAAAUAUAUUUUUUACAUAAUGUCAUAUUAAAUGUGGAUUUUAAUGAUUGGUUUUGGUGAUUUUUGAAGAUUUUUGUAUUUAGAUGGCAUACACAUUUUCAAUCAUGUCUUAAUUACUUUUAAAAAUGCUGCACUGGCUUAGGGACAAGACAGAUAACUUGUUAAGCAUUUGAAAUUUCUGAGCUGUUUUCUCAGUUCUGGCAGUCACUACCCAAGUCCAGAUUGUAACCUCCUUUCUGCCUCCAAAGCCUGCCUUGGCUCCGUGUCCAGUGAGGGAUUAUGGAUUUAGCAAGGAAGGUAAGUGUGACUACAAGCAUUGGCUCACCAUCUGCUCCCCAGCAGAGCAUGGGCCAACCUGCAUCGCCUGCAGCAAGACCAGGGCACUGUUCUGCAGCCAGCCCUUUCCAACCUGGCUCAAGGCACACAGCACAUUCAGUCAGAUGAUUAGGUCUAAGUAGUCCAUAUGUAACAGAAUAUUUUUCCUAAAUACCAAAAUGAAAACAAAAUGAAUGCCAUUUUUUUCAUUCUCCUUACUCGAUACAUCAAGUUUUACACAAAUAAAUACUCUCUUAAGGUUUAUGCAAAUGAUAGAAAAAUAAAACUAUGCAUUAUUUAGCAGUUCUCCUAUUUCAAGAUCUAACAGACUUUAUUCACAGCAUGUUUUUCCCUAGUUUAUGCUGGCCUUCUUUUCUGAUUCGACUUUUUAAUUCAUCUUUUUAAAUUAUUCCUUUUUAAAUCAUUAUCUUAUGUGUCUUCAUAGAUU